rnacentral:lncRNA from 1 species
GCUACACCCUUCCAGCAGAGACUCUGUUGUGCCGGCAGUGAUGCUGGAAGUUCAUUGGCAAAAUAGCUUUGAGAGUGAAGGCUGCAACCUUGCACUGUGCAUACAGAAGCCAACAGGACCAGUUACACCAGCCUGUCACCAUUACCAUCCGUCCAGAGGAUGGGCUGAGGAAUUCUACCCUCCUUACAUAUUAGGAAAGUCUUGGUUUGAUCUUGUUUUCAUCCUAUGUGGUCCUUAAUCCCAUCAGCACGUUUAAUUAAGCACUGUCCUAAAAACUGUGGUAGUCAGUUGCUUCAUCUAAGGAUGUGGAAUCUGUGACUUUAUGAGAAGACAACGGUUGUUUGCUUUUUUGGUAUUGAUCCACAUAAAAAUUAGCCUCUGAAGAAGAGCAAAAUGUGUGCUGGAAUGCGAAGGAAAGAGCAAGCUGGGCUGUGAUGCAAUACCCAGGAGCUCCACUUUGGGUCUGCAAGCUGCAUCUGCAAACAGCAGCAGCAAAAACAACAGACAAGCUCUUUUCGUGAUAUGUGAAGUGCAAUUAUGAGGCUGUUAACUUCAAAGUCUGCUUCUGACCACGGAAAGGCUUAGUGUUAACCUCUCCUGCUACAGUAUGUCCAACAAACGCACUUGUUGUCCAGCCCCAUAUGGACAUACCAGAUGUUCCUCCCACCAGCAUGGACAUUCCAGAGGAAAUUGCUGCUGGUGGCGUGGUCCAGCAGCACGGCAGAGGUAAGAUGCUGGGCCAGUCCAGCCCACUGCAGUAGUGCUAUUCUUUUUGAACUGCAGAUGCCAGCUUUCUAAGCUGUCUUCAGCAAUUCCUCCUGUGAACUACCACUUCUAACCAUUUUUCCAGAUUCCAUAGGGAUGUUGCUAAAAUUGCUGAGCAAUUUUCAUCAUCUGCAUCCAAUAUUGAGAACUUUAACAAGUCGUGGAAUAUUUUUUUUU